CGGCGAGUGAAGCGGCAACAGCUCAAAUUUGAAAUCUGGCUCUUUCAGGGUCCGAGUUGUAAUUUGUAGAGGAUGUUUCGGGUGUGGCUCCGGUCUAAGUUCCUUGGAACAGGACGUCAUAGAGGGUGAGAAUCCCGUAUGUGACUGGUAGCCUAUGCCCAUGUGAAACUCCUUCGACGAGUCGAGUUGUUUGGGAAUGCAGCUCAAAAUGGGUGGUAAAUUUCAUCUAAAGCUAAAUAUUGGCCAGAGACCGAUAGCGCACAAGUAGAGUGAUCGAAAGAUGAAAAGCACUUUGGAAAGAGAGUUAAACAGUACGUGAAAUUGUUGAAAGGGAAGCGCUUGCAACCAGACUUGCAUGUAGCUGAUCAACCGGUGUUCUCACCGGUGCACUCAGUUGCGUUCAGGCCAGCAUCGGUUUCGACGGUUGGAUAAAGGCCUUGGGAAUGUAGCUUCUUUCGGGGAGUGUUAUAGCCCAGGGUGCAAUGCAGCCUGUCGGGACCGAGGACCGCGCUUCGGCUAGGAUGCUGGCGUAAUGGUUGUAAGCGACCCGUCUUGAAACACGGACCAAGGAGUCUAACAUCUAUGCGAGUGUUUGGGUGUCAAACCCAUACGCGUAAUGAAAGUGAACGGAGGUGAGAACCCUUAAGGGUGCAUCAUCGACCGAUCCUGAUGUCUUCGGAUGGAUUUGAGUAAGAGCAUAGCUGUUGGGACCCGAAAGAUGGUGAACUAUGCCUGAAUAGGGUGAAGCCAGAGGAAACUCUGGUGGAGGCUCGCAGCGGUUCUGACGUGCAAAUCGAUCGUCAAAUUUGGGUAUAG
rnacentral:rRNA from 1 species